UUUGUAUUACGUGCGGAAAUUGCUACCAUUUUUAAGCUGAAAAUGGUAACAAUUUCCGCACGUAAUACAAA
rnacentral:miRNA from 1 species